rnacentral:rRNA from 1 species
UACGUAGGGUGCAAGCGUUGUCCGGAAUUAUUGGGCGUAAAGAGCUCGUAGGCGGUUCGUCACGUCGGCUGUGAAAUCCCGAGGCUCAACCUCGGGUCUGCAGUCGAUACGGGCGGACUUGAGUACUGCAGGGGAGACUGGAAUUCCUGGUGUAGCGGUGAAAUGCGCAGAUAUCAGGAGGAACACCGGUGGCGAAGGCGGGUCUCUGGGCAGUAACUGACGCUGGAGGAGCGAAAGCGUGGGGAGCGAACAGG